rnacentral:rRNA from 1 species
CGGUGAAUACGUUCCCGGGUCUUGUACACACCGCCCGUCACACCAUGGGAGUCGGAAAUGCCCGAAGUCUGUGACCCAACCUUAGGGAGGGAGCAGCCGAAGGCAGGUCGGAUGACUGGGGUGAAGUCGUAACAAGGUAUC